UACAGAGGGCGCGAGCGUUGUCCGGAAUCACUGGGCGUAAAGGGCGCGUAGGUGGCGGCAUAAGGCUGUGGUGAAAGUCCGGGGCUCAACUCCGGAUCGGCCGCGGCGACUGUGUCGCUUGGGUACCGUAGAGGCAGAUGGAAUUCCGGGUGUAGCGGUGGAAUGCGUAGAGAUCCGGAAGAACACCAGUGGCGAAGGCGGUCUCGCUGGGCGGUGGACUCUUGGAGUCCUUUAACCGACACUGAGCGCGACAGCGUGGGGAGCAAACAGG
rnacentral:rRNA from 1 species